AUGCCGCCAGCCACUUGGCUGCGGGCGGACGUGCAGCUGAUCGAGGCCAGAGGGGGCCUCCAGCCGCCCGGCGGGAGCCUCCGCCUCUCCUGCAAGGGAACCGGGUUCACCUUCAGCAGCUUCGGCAUCAGCUUCUGGAUGCAAUGGGUCCGACAAGUGCCUGGGAAGGGGCUCAUGUUCGUUGAGGGUAUUGGCAAUGAUGGUAGUAGCACAUACUACGCGGAUGCGGUGAAAGGGCGCUUCACCAUCUCCCGGGACAACGCGCAGAGCACGCUCUACCUGCAGAUGAACAGCCUCAAGGCCGAGGACACCGGCACCUACUACUGCGCGAAAGCUGCUGCUAGUGAUAGUAUUUGUGGAGAUGCAGUUGACCCCUGUCAUCGCUAG